rnacentral:rRNA from 1 species
UACGUAGGGAGCAAGCGUUGUUCGGAUUUACUGGGCGUAAAGGGCGCGUAGGCGGCGCAGUAAGUCACUUGUGAAAUCUCUGAGCUUAACUCAGAACGGCCAAGUGAUACUGCAGUGCUAGAGUGCAGAAGGGGCAAUCGGAAUUCCUGGUGUAGCGGUGGAAUGCGCAGAUAUCAGGAGGAACACCAACGGCGAAGGCAGCUCGCUGGGACGGUACUGACGCUGAGGCGCGAAAGCGUGGGGAGCAAACAGG